UUUACUGAUUACAAGUACACCAAUGUGGUCUGUUGAAACUGAACCGGUUUGACACGCCACAUUGGACUAAAAUGAACAUCUACCACUUUUGUGAUCUAUGGUUGAGGGAAAUGAGGAUUGAAAAUUGCCCCAAUGGUGAAAUGUCUCGAGUUGGGUUUCAUAAUCUUAUAGAGAACUACCAGAGACUUGUUGGCUACUAUCAUUCAGUGCCUCAAAUGAGGCGAAGAUAUUCCAAAUGCAAGGACAUGUAUGUAUUUUGGCGCAAAACACUAAAUCAUACAGGCACUACCAUCGGCCCUUUGGGAGAAAUUAGAGCACCGUUUGGGUGGUGGAUCACGGCGGUAAAUUUGUUUAUACAUGCUUCGGGCUCAAUGCAUUGGACGCAUGAUAUAGUACUGAACUUGUGUGUUUUUUUGAAUUGCAGGGGAAACGAGAGUUUCAGAUAUUUCAGCACCGCAGUCCUUCGUACAUGCAGUUGCUCAUUGAUAUGUUCUCUGGGUUGCCAGUAGAUGGAUCGAGGUCAUAUAACCCUUUACAUGCAUACAUGCAAGCUUCGGAAGCAAGAGGUGGCGAAUCAGGUGAUGUAGAAGGAGGUAAUCAGAUGAUCAACCACAUUACCAGUUCCACUCAUAAAAGGGGGACCAGUUCUCGCGCAACGGGCAAUAGUUCUUCGAAGAGAACCAAGAGUCCUAUUGUCAAAGCUGUGAUUGACCUCAUGGAGAAGGCGGAGACUUGUUCAGAGAAAACAAGAGAGUUUGUGGAGUAUAGGGCGCAUGCAGAGUUCAUGACACAAAGGCAGCUUAUAUUGGAACGUCAAAACACCAUCUUGCGUACACAAAGGGAAGAUGCUACAGUCCAGACAGGAGAUGGCAGCUAAUGAGAAGGCAGAGAUUAGACAAGAAAUAGAAUAUUGCAUGGAAUUGAUAAGGGAUACAGGUGUUGAGGAAACUUCAGAUGAGUUCCUUAUGGGAUCCGAUUUGUUUAUCCAGGGCGCAGGCUACAGGACCCUCUUCAUGGCCAUUAAAACAAAUGAAGCUAGACUAUCGUGGUUGAGGAAGAAAAUAGAAGAAAAGAGCAAAAGCGCUUCAUGUGGACAUUCUAUGUAGACCUGCUGAGUGCAACUUUGUUGUGAAACGUGUAGUUUCAGUUGGGAUCAUUAUGCUUUGUUGUGAAACUCUUAGUUUGCAGUGGUUCUACUUGUAUUUGUGCUCAUUAGGUCGUGAAACUUUAUUUGUCAUGUGUAUGUGUUGUUAAACUUGUAUUUCCCAUAAUGCUACUUGUUGUUGUGUUGAUUAUGUCGUCUUGUGCAAAUUCUAUUUCCCAUUAUGCUGCAUAUAUGUAUGAUGAUUAUGUCUUGUUGUGAGACUUCUAUUCCCCAUUAUGCUUCUUUUAUGUGAUAUUAGCUGUUGAAUUUAUUUUGAAUUGCGAUUUGACAUUCAACUAUUUUUUUUACUAUGUCGAAGGUGGAUUUUCUAUGUGCCGAGGACAUGAAGGUGCUUACGAACUUCAUUGCAGAGGAGGAUGAGCUAGGUGAGCAACAACACAUCAUUGUUAGCCAGAGAAGGGAGAUUAUGAAGGAGGCAGAGAAGUGGAGCAACGUAAUUGGUCAGGUUGCUUAUUCCAUCGGUACGCAAUACUGUGACUCAUUUAGAAGCAGUUGUUAUUACAGAUUAGCUCCGGAAAGUGGACAAUCAUGGGUCAUGAGAACAUUAGACAACGAUCUAUAUUGCUACAACAUGUUUAGAAUGGGACGCCCUCUGUUUGACAAACUUCAUGACUUGCUAGUGCGAGUGUAUGGGUUACGGUCAACAAGGAAUAUGACAUCUAAGGAGGCUUUGGGGAUGUUUUUUGGACUGUUGGUCCCCCUGAACCAAUUCGACAAGUUGAAAAUUGUUUUAAUCGAUCAAUGGAGACAAUAACCAGGACUUUUAAUAAAGUGUUGGAAUGCUUGAACAAGCUUGCAAGUGAUAUCAUUAACCCAAAGGAUCGUGAAUUUAAGAUAAUGCAUCCAAAGCUAUAUGAUAGAAGAUUUUACCCUUUCUUUAACAAUGCUAUUGGAGCCAUAGAUGGGACACAUAUACCAGUAGCAGUCCCAAUGAAUGAAGCUAUAGUAUAUACAAAUAAAAAUCAGAGGAGGACUCAUAAUGUUUUGGCCAUAUGUGACUUUGAUAUGAGAUUCACAUUUGUUGCUGCGGGUUGCCCUGGCUCGGCUCAUGAUUAUUUGGUCUUCAAAGAUGCACGUAAAAAAUAUGGAGCCAUUUUCCCACAUCCACCUCUAGGGAAGUUUUACUUGGUUGACUUGGGCUAUGAAAACGAACCGGGUUAUCUUGCACCUUACAGGAGUGCAAUGUACACUGAAGACCCGGAAGAAAGAGGUUUGAAAGAAAUAUUUAACACAAAUCAUGCUUCGCUCAGAAAUGUGGUAGAGCGGUCAUUUGGAGUUUUAAAGAACAAGUGGAGGAUACUGUUUGACAUCCGGAAUUAUCAUCAAACAAAGCAAAGCAAAAUAAUUGUUGCAUGCAUGGCACUACAUAAUUUCAUUAGAGAUAAUGAUGUUCAUGAUCCAGACUUCAGUAUGGCCGUGUUUAGUUCC